CUCUGUUCACGGAAAGGGCCUGGGAGCUGCAACACCUCAACAGCAACAAGCACACCUGCUACCUAGAACUUGGUUUCUAAAAACCAUCCUCCUCUAAAAGGAAACAGAGCUCUUUGAAGAAAUGAGACAGAUCUCAUUAUGUUGCCCAGGGUGAUCCUUGAUCUCCUGGCCUCAAGUGAUCCUCCAACCUUGGUCUCCCAAAGUGCUGGGAUUACAGAUGUGAACUACCACACCCAGUCAACGUGCAGAAGGUUUUCAGUUUGAUGUAGUCUGAUGUAGUCUCAUGUAUUUAUCCUUGUUGUUGUUGCCUGAGCUUUUGGUGUGAUAUCCAAAAAUAUCAUUGCCAAGAUCAAUAUCAAGAAACUUUCCCCCUAUGUUUCUUACAGAAAUUUUAUGGUUUCAGAUUUUUCAUCCAUUUUGAGUAUAUUUUUGUGUAUGAUGUAAGAUAAGGGUCCAGUCUCCCCAGUGUUGGAUAUCCAAUUUUCAUAACACCAUUUAUUGAAGAGAUUAUUCUUUCUCCACUGUGUUUUCUUGAUGUCCUUGUCAAAAACUAGUUAACUUUUAUAUGCUUGGGUUUAUUUCUGGGCUCUAUUCUGUU
rnacentral:lncRNA from 1 species